GAUGAACGCUGGCGGCGUGCCUAAUACAUGCAAGUCGAGCGAACGGACGAGAAGCUUGCUUUUCUGAUGUUAGCGGCGGACGGGUGAGUAACACGUGGAUAACCUACCUAUAAGACUGGGAUAACUUCGGGAAACCGGAGCUAAUACCGGAUAAUAUUUUGAACCGCAUGGUUCAAAAGUGAACGACGGUCUUGCUGUCACUUAUAGAUGGAUCCGCGCUGCAUUAGCUAGUUGGUAAGGUAACGGCUUACCAAGGCAACGAUGCAUAGCCGACCUGAGAGGGUGAUCAGCCACACUGGGACUGAGACACGGUCCAGACUCCUACGGGAGGCAGCAGUAGGGAAUCUUCCGCAAUGGGCGAAAGCCUGACGGAGCAACGCCGCGUGAGUGAUGAAGGUCUUCGGAUCGUAAAACUCUGUUAUUAGGGAAGAACAUAUGUGUAAGUAACUGUGCACAUCAUGACGGUACCUAAUCAGAAAGCCACGGCUAACUACGUG
rnacentral:rRNA from 1 species